AGGAUGAACGCUAGCUACAGGCUUAACACAUGCAAGUCGAGGGGCAGCAUUUCAGUUUGCUUGCAAACUGGAGAUGGCGACCGGCGCACGGGUGAGUAACACGUAUCCAACCUGCCGAUAACUCGGGGAUAGCCUUUCGAAAGAAAGAUUAAUACCCGAUGGUAUAAUCAGACCGCAUGGUCUUGUUAUUAAAGAAUUUCGGUUAUCGAUGGGGAUGCGUUCCAUUAGGCAGUUGGUGAGGUAACGGCUCACCAAACCUUCGAUGGAUAGGGGUUCUGAGAGGAAGGUCCCCCACAUUGGAACUGAGACACGGUCCAAACUCCUACGGGAGGCAGCAGUGAGGAAUAUUGGUCAAUGGGCGCAGGCCUGAACCAGCCAAGUAGCGUGAAGGAUGACUGCCCUAUGGGUUGUAAACUUCUUUUAUAUGGGAAUAAAGUUUUCCACGUGUGGAAUUUUGUAUGUACCAUAUGAAUAAGGAUCGGCUAACUCCGUGCCAGCAGCCGCGGUAAUACGGAGGAUCCGAGCGUUAUCCGGAUUUAUUGGGUUUAAAGGGAGCGUAGGUGGACAGUUAAGUCAGUUGUGAAAGUUUGCGGCUCAACCGUAAAAUUGCAGUUGAUACUGGCUGUCUUGAGUACAGUAGAGGUGGGCGGAAUUCGUGGUGUAGCGGUGAAAUGCUUAGAUAUCACGAAGAACUCCGAUUGCGAAGGCAGCUCACUGGACUGCAACUGACACUGAUGCUCGAAAGUGUGGGUAUCAAACAGGAUUAGAUACCCUGGUAGUCCACACAGUAAACGAUGAAUACUCGCUGUUUGCGAUAUACAGUAAGCGGCCAAGCGAAAGCAUUAAGUAUUCCACCUGGGGAGUACGCCGGCAACGGUGAAACUCAAAGGAAUUGACGGGGGCCCGCACAAGCGGAGGAACAUGUGGUUUAAUUCGAUGAUACGCGAGGAACCUUACCCGGGCUUAAAUUGCAUUUGAAUAUAUUGGAAACAGUAUAGCCGUAAGGCAAAUGUGAAGGUGCUGCAUGGUUGUCGUCAGCUCGUGCCGUGAGGUGUCGGCUUAAGUGCCAUAACGAGCGCAACCCUUAUCUUUAGUUACUAACAGGUCAUGCUGAGGACUCUAGAGAGACUGCCGUCGUAAGAUGUGAGGAAGGUGGGGAUGACGUCAAAUCAGCACGGCCCUUACGUCCGGGGCUACACACGUGUUACAAUGGGGGAUACAGAAGGCAGCUACCUGGUGACAGGAUGCUAAUCCCAAAAGCCUCUCUCAGUUCGGAUCGAAGUCUGCAACCCGACUUCGUGAAGCUGGAUUCGCUAGUAAUCGCGCAUCAGCCAUGGCGCGGUGAAUACGUUCCCGGGCCUUGUACACACCGCCCGUCAAGCCAUGAAAGCCGGGGGUACCUGAAGUACGUAACCGCAAGGAGCGUCCUAGGGUAAAACUGGUAA
rnacentral:rRNA from 1 species